rnacentral:rRNA from 1 species
UGAGUAACCUGCCCUUAACUCUGGGAUAAGCCUGGGAAACUGGGUCUAAUACCGGAUAUGACUCCUCAUCGCAUGGUGGGGGGUGGAAAGCUUUUUUGUGGUUUUGGAUGGACUCGCGGCCUAUCAGCUUGUUGGUGAGGUAAUGGCUCACCAAGGCGACGACGGGUAGCCGGCCUGAGAGGGUGACCGGCCACACUGGGACUGGGACACGGCCCAGACUCCUACGGGAGGCAG